AAAAGUAGGUGAGGCGGUUGCGGACUCAAUAUUUGGGGUCUGAGGAAAGUCCGGGCUCCCGAAAGACCAAGCUUGCUGGGUAACGCCCAGUGCGAGCGAUCGUGAGGAUAGUGCCACAGAAAAAUACCGCCCUGUUUAUCGGGGUAAGGGUGCAAAGGUGCGGUAAGAGCGCACCAGCAGUGUCGUGAGGCACUGGCUCGGUAAACCCCGGCUGGGAGCAAGGUCGGAGGAAAAAUGGUUGGUCUUUUUCCAAUUCCGUUGCAUCACAGAUUUAUCUAUGGUGUUAGGUGUACCGCAAGAGGUGUCUGGUGACAGGCAUCCCAGAUAGAUAACUGCCCUCUUAACUGGUUUCAGUUAAGGGAACAGAACCCGGCUUACUUCCUACUUUUUUCU
rnacentral:RNase_P_RNA from 1 species